AUUGAACGCUGGCGGCAGGCCUAACACAUGCAAGUCGAGCGGAUGACGGGAGCUUGCUCCUUGAUUCAGCGGCGGACGGGUGAGUAAUGCCUAGGAAUCUGCCUGGUAGUGGGGGACAACGUUUCGAAAGGAACGCUAAUACCGCAUACGUCCUACGGGAGAAAGCAGGGGACCUUCGGUCCUUGCGCUAUCAGAUGAGCCUAGGUCGGAUUAGCUAGUUGGUGGUGUAAUCGCUCACCAAGGCGACGACCCGUAACUGGUCUGAGAUGAUGAUCGGUCACACUGGAACUGAGACACGGUCCAGACUCCUACGGGAGGCAGCAGUGUGGAAUAUUGGACAAUGGGCGAAAGCCUGAUCCAGCCAUGCCGCGUGUGUGAAGAAGGUCUUCGGAUUGUAAAGCACUUUAAGUUGGGAGGAAGGGCAGUAAGCUAAUACCUUGCUGUUUUGACGUUACCGACAGAAUAAGCACCGGCUAACUCUGUGCCAGCAGCCGCUGUAAAAC
rnacentral:rRNA from 1 species